UGAGUAAAGUGGCGUACGGGUGAGUAACACGUGGAUCAUCUACCCUGGAGUGGGGAAUAACGCUGGGAAACCGGCGCUAAUACCGCAUAAUCCCGAGAGGGCAAAGGAAGCAAUUCCGCUUCAGGAGGAGUCCGCGGCCGAUUAGCUAGUUGGCAGGGUAAAAGCCUACCAAGGCAACGAUCGGUAGCCGGCCUGAGAGGGCACACGGCCACACUGGCACUGAAACACGGGCCAG
rnacentral:rRNA from 1 species